AAUAGAUACCCAGGUAGUCCACGCCGUAAACAAUGAGUGCUAAGUGUUGGGGGGUUUCCGCCCCUCAGUGCUGCAGCUAACGCAUUAAGCACUCCGCCUGGGGAGUACGGUCGCAAGACUGAAACUCAAAGGAAUUGACGGGGGCCCGCACAAGCGGUGGAGCAUGUGGUUUAAUUCGAAGCAACGCGAAGAACCUUACCAGGUCUUGACAUCCCGGUGACCACUAUGGAGACAUAGUUUCCCCUUCGGGGGCAACGGUGACAGGUGGUGCAUGGUUGUCGUCAGCUCGUGUCGUGAGAUGUUGGGUUAAGUCCCGCAACGAGCGCAACCCUUAUUCUUAAUUGCCAUCAUUUAGUUGGGCACUCUAAGGAGACUGCCGGUGAUAAACCGGAGGAAGGUGGGGAUGACGUCAAAUCAUCAUGCCCCUUAUGACCUGGGCUACACACGUGCUACAAUGGACGGUACAAACGGUUGCCAACCCGCGAGGGGGAGCUAAUCCGAUAAAACCGUUCUCAGUUCGGAUUGUAGGCUGCAACUCGCCUACA
rnacentral:rRNA from 1 species